AGCCCUAGAACACUGACUCAGAACAUUGAAGAAACAUUCCAAAAAACCUACCCUUCAAAGGGUUUAUCUUUACAAAGGUAGUGUGUGGAGGUGGAGGAGUGGAGGUUAAUAAGACACAUGUCUGUGCUUAUUACAGUGUUUUCCCAGCUCAGACAGUUGUGACAUCUAAGGACAUAGCAGUGAUGGUGGCUAUUUAGCUUUCUGUCUAAGCUCUUAAGCGUUUAUUUGCUCACAGACUCAAUGCAUUUCAGUCUGGUUUUGCUUCCUUGCACCCAGCUUGUCAGGCAAUGUGUCAGAUGAGGUACUUCCUCUUAUUUUGGCCAUUUCCUGUAAAGUAUACCUGUGUAAAACGGCUAGGCACCAGUAUGAAGGGCUGAAUAGAGCAUCAGCCAUGGCAAUGGUACUGUUGUGGACCCUGUUGUGGAUAUCAGGAUAUUGUCACAGACUUUCAGCUGAAGUGUUGGUACAGUACAAAUACUUUCAUUCUGGGGAGAUACAGAGGGUCUCUCUACAAGCCCCUGCUGAGACCAACGGGACAGAAUUCAUCUGGGAGUGGACGUCACAUGAUGGAAAUUACACAAACACUCGGAUAAUAACUAUACGGUCCGAUGGAACGUAUUCAUGGAAUUUGAAGAAGGAGUCUAUUUUAAAACAAAGGAAGUACGACAUUUAUCUGCGAGCAAAUUGGAAAGAUGCAGGAGUUUUUACUUAUAGUCAAACUAAACCAGAGGAAGUGAACUUGGCCGUGGCUGAAGUGUUCGCUGUAGAAGUGAAACCAUUUCACAUGGACACAGUAAAUGAAGGUUCUGAUGUGGUCAUGAGCUGUGAAGUAUCACACCGUCCAGAUUCAGCUACACUGGACUGGGAAAGGGACAGAGAACCUACUGCUAACACAAUGCUGAUCUACAACAACACUGCCCACAUCAUCAUCCACAGUGCUGACCGAUACAGUGAGGGAUCAUAUUACUGCACACUCAGAUGGAAUGGAGUACGUAUUUUCAGCAUUCCCAGGACAUUUCAAGUCUAUGAAGGUACAUAUGAAACACAACGCACUCUGUACAGAGGAAGUUUGAACAGCAGUGAGGCAGUGCUAGCCUGCCAUUCUCUGAACUCAUUCCGAACAGUUUACUGGAGAUGGGUGGCAUUGCAAAGGUCUGAUCUAACCCUUGUGGCCUCAGCUGAAAAACAAAAGAGUGCUUUGAUUUCCAUGGAGAUAGAUAAAGAGAGAUUCUCAUCUGAGGGCUUUGAUGGGUCUAAUUUUCCUCUGAGAAUCUCACCAGUGAAGUUUGGAGACAGUGGAAUGUACUUUUGUUACUCUGAACACUCCCUGAUGGCCACAGUAAUGCUGGUAACUGUUCAGGUCUCAGCAGUGUCCCCUGGUGGUCUGUCCAGGAAUCAGUCAGUUGUGCUGAACUGUGAGAUAUCACAGGUGAUCAGCUCUGUGACCCUGGCCUGGCUGCGGAUGAAGGGGGGCAGGGGCGAGCUCAUAAAACAGGAGGUCCUGAGUGAGAGGUACCCAAAAAAGAUGCUCAGUCUCACCCUGCCCAUUCUGAGCAGAGACCAGCUUCACUGGACCUGUGCGGUGUUCACAGGGAGCAUGCUCAGAGCACAGGUCCCCCUCACACUGCCAACACCCAUCACUGAACCUGAAGAGCCAAAGCCAGAUAAUGGCAGGGUGCAGGUGAUCGGUUUGGCCUGUACUGCUGCUGUGUGUGUUGGAGUGCUGUUGCUGUUAGGAGGUCUGUUGUUUCGGCAUCUGAAAACAGCAGCAGGUUCCUCCUCAUCACCAGCUGAAGGGAAAGGUGCAGCUGAUCCAGUCUACAGUAACAUCACAGAUCUGCAGCAGGGUCAAGGAAACCCAGAUACCCCUAAAGAGGAGAAUGACAGUGAGGAGCUCCAAUACUUAAUAUUUUCCUUGACCACUCCCAGUUUGGACCCUCACAGACAACAACGGAGGCAGUUGAACCCCCAGUCUCAUUCUGAACAAGAAGAAAAUGAUAAAGUGAUCUAUGCAAGUGUCUGCAAAAUGUAAUAUGGAUAACAUUUCAAUGAUUCAAAUGGAUAAAUGAAACAAAAAGCCCACAUUUAAAGUUAACAUUUGAAGUCUGUACAGUGCAACUGUGUCACAGAUGAAAAAAGACAAUCUGCAGAUCUUACCAAGAUCUGUUACUAUGUGAAUAUGCCACUGUUGCAUUCUGUUUUGCUAAAGGAAGCCUUUACAUGCAUCUGAUAAUAUUUAGAUUUUGACUGUGAACAACACAGCUGUAUUCUGGAAAAUAUAUACAUUAAUAAGUUGUUUCUGUACUGUUUUUUGCAGUUUUAUUUUUUCUUUUUCUUGUGUACUCCGAUUUGUUGACUAAUUGAUGUAUGAACAGCAGGGAGUGAUAUUGUUCAAGAAAUAAGCAACAUAUUUAUGUACAGGGUAGUAGUGUCUGGAUAUGGCGGUGUGCUCUUCAGUGUGCUUUUAACUGUUGUUAAGAAGUAUACUUUUUAUUUUUAGUAAUAAAACAGCUGUGAAAAAGAACUGCAUUAUUAAUUAUUAUAAGAACCCAAAAUAAAACACAGUUAG